GAUGAACGCUGGCGGCAUGCCUAACACAUGCGAGUCGAUCGGUAAGGCUCUUCGGAGUACACGAGAGGCGGACGGCUGAGUAACGCGUAGGAACACACCCUGCAGUGAGGGAUAAGACACCGAAAGGUGUUCUAAUACCGCAUACGGUCUUCGGAUUAAAGCAUUUAUGCGCUGAAGGAGUGGCCUGCGUCAUAUUAGAUAGUUGGUGAGGUAAUGGCUCACCAAGUCGAUGAUGUGUAGCUGGUCUGAGAGGAUGAUCAGCCAGACUGGAACUGAGACACGGUCCAGACUCCUACGGGAGGCAGCAGUGAGGAAUAUUUCACAAUGAGCGAAAGCUUGAUGGAGCAAUGCCGCGUGCAGGAUGAAGGCCCUCGGGUUGUAAACUGCUUUUAUAAGAGAAGAUUAUGACGGUAACUUAUGAUUAAGGGACGGCUAACUACGUG
rnacentral:rRNA from 1 species